GACGAACGCUGGCGGCGUGCCUAAUACAUGCAAGUCGAACGCACUUCUCGUUUAGAUUGAAGGAGCUUGCCCCUGAUUGAUAAACAUUUGAGUGAGUGGCGGACGGGUGAGUAACACGUGGGUAACCUGCCCUAAAGUGGGGGAUAACAUUUGGAAACAGAUGCUAAUACCGCAUAAAACCUACACCGCAUGGUGUAGGGCUGAAAGAUGGUUUCGGCUAUCACUUUAGGAUAGACCCGCGGUGCAUUAGUUAGUUGGUGAGGUAAAGGCUCACCAAGACCGUGAUGCAUAGCCGACCUGAGAGGGUAAUCGGCCACACUGGGACUGAGACACGGCCCAGACUCCUACGGGA
rnacentral:rRNA from 1 species